GAUGCCGGAUUAGCUAGUUGGUGAGGUAAGAGCUCACCAAGGCGACCAUCCGUAGCUGGUCUGAGAGGACGACCAGCCACACUGGGACUGAGACACGGCCCAGACUCCUACGGGAGGCAGCAGUGGGGAAUUUUGGACAAUGGGCGCAAGCCUGAUCCAGCCAUGCCGCGUGAGUGAAGAAGGCCUUCGGGUUGUAAAGCUCUUUCGCAAGGAAAGAAAACUUAUCUACUAA
rnacentral:rRNA from 1 species